UACGUAGGGGGCAAGCGUUGUCCGGAAUUACUGGGCGUAAAGGGCUUGUAGGUGGCCAACUAAGUCAGACGUGAAAUCCCUCGGCUUAACCGGGGAACUGCGUCUGAUACUGGAUGGCUUGAGUGUGGGAGAGGGAUGCGGAAUUCCAGGUGUAGCGGUGAAAUGCGUAGAUAUCUGGAGGAACACCGGUGGCGAAGGCGGCAUCCUGGACCAUUACUGACACUGAAAAGCGAAAGCGUGGGGAGCGAACAGG
rnacentral:rRNA from 1 species